rnacentral:rRNA from 1 species
UGGGGAAUUUUGGACAAUGGGCGAAAGCCUGAUCCAGCAAUGCCGCGUGUGUGAAGAAGGCCUUCGGGUUGUAAAGCACUUUUGUCCGGAAAGAAAUCCUUGGCUCUAAUACAGUCGGGGGAUGACGGUACCGGAAGAAUAAGCACCGGCUAACUACGUGCCAGCAGCCGCGGUAAUACGUAGGGUGCAAGCGUUAAUCGGAAUUACUGGGCGUAAAGCGUGCGCAGGCGGUUUGCUAAGACCGAUGUGAAAUCCCCGGGCUCAACCUGGGAACUGCAUUGGUGACUGGCAGGCUAGAGUAUGGCAGAGGGGGGUAGAAUUCCACGUGUAGCAGUGAAAUGCGUAGAGAUGUGGAGGAAUACCGAUGGCGAAGGCAGCCCCCUGGGCCAAUACUGACGCUCAUGCACGAAAGCGUGGGGAGCAAACAGGAUUAGAUACCCUGGUAGUCCACGCCCUAAACGAUGUCAACUAGUUGUUGGGGAUUCAUUUCCUUAGUAACGUAGCUAACGCGUGAAGUUGACCGCCUGGGGAGUACGGUCGAAGAUUAAAACUCAAAGAAUUGACGGGGUCAUAGCUGUUUCCU